rnacentral:rRNA from 1 species
GGGUCAGUAGGUUGGUCGUGCCACCGGUACGUACUGGUCUCACUGAUUCCUCCUUCCUGAAGAACCGUAAUGCCAUUAAUUCGGUGUUGCGGGGAAACAGGACUGUUACUUUGAAAAAAUUAGAGUGUUUAAAGCAGGCUAACGCUUGAAUACAUUAGCAUGGAAUAAUGAAAUAGGACGAUCGAUCCUAUUUUGUUGGUUUCUAGGAUUGACGUA